rnacentral:rRNA from 1 species
AUGUCGAACACAGGCAAGGAGAUCGUGACGGCAGCAGCGGGAGCGCCGAUGCCGAUGGUGGGGGUGUCGCAAUUCCCCUAUCUGGAUCGGGAAGACUACGCACUAUGGGUGAUGAACAUGGAGGUCGCGAUGGAGGGAGCUGAGUUCUGGGAAGCCGUGGAACCCGGCGGGGCCGAGUACGCGAAGGGCGCGGCGAAGUACCGGAUUGAUCGUCAGGCGUUAACGGCGAUCUACUCCACAAUGCCGAAGGAUGUGCUGCAACACCUCGUCGGAAAGAAGACGGCGAAGGAGGCAUGGGAGACCAUCAAGAUCCUGCACCAGGGUCAUGACCGUGUCAAGGAAGCACACCUUCAGUCCCUGAUGAGAAGCUACGAGUGCCUGAAGAUGGAUGAAAGUGAGACGGUUGAUCAGUUUGCCGCCCGUCUCAAGACCCUCGUCAACGGCAUACGCAGCUAUGGUUCAACCCUAGAAGAAGUUGCGAUCGUCCGGCGAUUUUUGCGUGCCGCGCCGGUCACGUCGAUCGAACAAUGUCUCGACCUGAAAACUCUCACGGUCGAGGAUCUCGUCGGAAGGUUCAAGGCCCAUGAUGAGAGAAUUCGCCUCAGUUUCGGCGACGCGGAGGCAAGUGAGCACCUGAUGCUGACAAAGGCGCAAUGGAUCGCCCUGUCGAAAGAAAAGCAAGGCGGAUCCACGAGCAGCGGCAAGAAGAAGGGGAAAGGGAAGCAGCGCUCAGCGAGAAAGAACUUCGCCAACUCAGACGACGAGGCUGCACCUGAACCACCGAGGAGGAAGUUUGACAUCAGAAAAGUAAGGUGUUAUAAGUGUGGCCUCCUCGGUCACUUCAAGGGUGACUGUGAGGAAGCACCGAAGCAGAAGGCGCUCAUGGUCGAGGAAGGAGACGACGGGGAUAUGAUGCUGAUGUGCGAGCUAGUGGACGAGGAGGAUCCAGAUGAUCUUGGUCAGCUGGACACGGGUCCG